rnacentral:rRNA from 1 species
UACGGAGGGAGCUAGCGUUGUUCGGAAUUACUGGGCGUAAAGCGCGCGUAGGCGGCUUUGUAAGUUAGAGGUGAAAGCCCGGGGCUCAACUCCGGAACUGCCUUUAAGACUGCAUCGCUUGAAUCCGGGAGAGGUGAGUGGAAUUCCGAGUGUAGAGGUGAAAUUCGUAGAUAUUCGGAAGAACACCAGUGGCGAAGGCGACUGACUGGACAAGUAUUGACGCUGAGGUGCGAAAGCGUGGGGAGCAAACAGG